UACAGAGGGUGCGAGCGUUGUUCGGAAUUAUUGGGCGUAAAGCGCUUGUAGGCGGCACGUCAAGUCGCGUGUGAAAUCCCCAGGCUUAACCUGGGAAGUGCGCGCGAAACUGACGAGCUUGAGUGCCGGAGAGGGUCGCGGAAUUCCCGGUGUAGAGGUGAAAUUCGUAGAUAUCGGGAGGAACACCAGUGACGAAGGCGGCGACCUGGACGGACACUGACGCUGAGACGCGAAAGCGUGGGGAGCAAACAGG
rnacentral:rRNA from 1 species